rnacentral:tRNA from 1 species
GUGGAUGUAGCUCAGCCGGUAGAGCCCCGGAUUGUGACUCCGGUGGUCGCAGGUUCAAACCCUGUCAUCCACCCCA